rnacentral:rRNA from 1 species
AUUGAACGCUGGCGGCAGGCCUAACACAUGCAAGUCGAACGAGUGGCGGACGGGUGAGUAAUGUCUGGGAAACUGCCUGAUGGAGGGGGAUAACUACUGGAAACGGUAGCUAAUACCGCAUACAAUCAGAUGUGCCCAGAUGGGAUUAGCUAGUUGGUUGGGUAACGGCUCACAAAGGCGACGAUCCAUAGCUGGUCUGAGAGGAUGACCAGCCACACUGGAACGGAGACACGGUCCAGACUCAUACGGGAGGCAGAAGUGGGGAAUAUUGCACAAUGGGAGCAAGCCUGAUGCAGCCAUGCCGCGUGUAUGAAGAAGGCCUUCGGGUUGUAAAGUACUUUCAGCGGGGAUGCGUUACCCUCAGAAGAAGCACCGGCUAACUCCGUGCCAGCCGCCGCGGUAAUAC